CAACCUCAACUCAUAUGGGACUACCCCCUGAAUUUAAGCAUAUUAAUUAGGGGAGGAAAAGAAACUAACAAGGAUUUUCUUAGUAGCGGCGAGCGAAAAGAAAUCAGUUCAGCACUAAGUCACUUUGUCUAUAUGGCAAAUGUGAGAUGCAGUGUACGGAACAUCAACAUUCUAGUAUGAGAAGUUAACGAUUUAAGUCCUUCUUAAAUGAGGCCAUUUACCCAUAGAGGGUGCCAGGCCCGUAUAACGUUAAUGAUUACUAGAUGGUGUUUCCAAAGAGUCGUGUUGCUUGAUAGUGCAGCACUAAGUGGGUGGUAAACUCCAUCUAAAACUAAAUAUAACCAUGAGACCGAUAGUAAACAAGUACCGUGAGGGAAAGUUGAAAAGAACUCUGAAUAGAGAGUUAAAUAGUACGUGAAACUGCUUAGAGGUUAAGCCCGAUGAACCUGAAUAUCCGUUAUGGAAAAUUCAUCAUUAGAAUUGUAAUAUUUUAAACAAUAUUAUAAUAAUAGUGUGCAUUUUUUCCAUAUAAGGACAUUGUAAUCUAUUAGCAUAAAUAUUUAUCAUAAAAUUAUGUCUGAUUGCUUAUUUGAAUUAUAUGCUUGGCAUUUUAACAUAAAAUAAAAGAUAUAAAUUUGAUAAAGUGCUGAUAGAUUUAUAUGAUUACAGUGCGUUAAUUUUUCGGAAUUAUAUAAUGGCAUAAUUAUCAUUGAUAUUUGUGUUUAUUAUAUGCAUUUGUAUGAUUAACAAUGCGAAAGAUUCAGGAUACCUUCGGGACUUUUUUUGAAACACGGACCAAGGAGUCUAACAUAUGUGCAAGUUAUUGGGAUAUAAACCUAAUAGCGUAAUUAACUUGACUAUUAAUGGGAUUAGUUUUUUAACUAUUUAUAGUUAAUUAACGCAAUCCCGGGGCGCUCUAUAUAGUUAUGUAUAAUAAUAUUUAUAUUAUUUAUGCCUCUAACUGGAACGUACCUUGAGCAUAUAUGCUGUGACCCGAAAGAUGGUGAACUAUAAUUGAUCAGGUUGAAGUCAGGGGAAACCCUGAUGGAAGACCGAAACAGUUCUGACGUGCAAAUCGAUUGUCAGAAUUGAGUAUAGGGGCGAAAGACCAAUCGAACCAUCUAGUAGCUGGUUCCUUCCGAAGUUUCCCUCACGAUAGCUGGUGCAUUUUAACUGUUGUAUAAAAUAAUUUUAUCUGGUAAAGCGAAUGAUUAGAGGCUUUAGGGUCGAAACGAUCUUAACCUAUUCUCAAACUUUAAAUGGGUAAGAACAUUAACUUUCUUGAUAUGAAGUUUAAGGUC
rnacentral:ncRNA from 1 species